UCAUGAUGUUCUUCGUGACAUGGCGUACUGCUCAGUAACACGUGGAUAACCUGCCCUUGGGUCCGGCAUAACCCCGGGAAACUGGGGAUAAUUCCGGAUAACGCACAUAUGCUGGAAUGCUUUAUGCGUAAAAUGGAUUCGUCUGCCCAAGGAUGGGUCUGCGGCCUAUCAGGUAGUAGUGGGUGUAAUGUACCUACUAGCCAACGACGGGUACGGGUUGUGAGAGCAAGAGCCCGGAGAUGGAUUCUGAGACGUGAAUCCAGGCCCUACGGGGCGCAGCAGGCGCGAAAACUUUACAAUGCGGGAAACCGUGAUAAGGGGACACCGAGUGCCAGCGUCAUACGCUGGCUGUCCAGGUGUGCAAAAUACACCUGUUAGCAAGGGCCGGGCAAGACCGGUGCCAGCCGCCGCGGUAACACCGGCGGCCCGAGUGGUGAUCGUGAUUAUUGGGUCUAAAGGGUCCGUAGCCGGUUUGGUCAGUCCUCCGGGAAAUCUGAUAGCUCAACUAUUAGGCUUUCGGGGGAUACUGCCAGACUUGGAACCGGGAGAGGUAAGAGGUACUACAGGGGUAGGAGUGAAAUCUUGUAAUCCCUGUGGGACCACCUGUGGCGAAGGCGUCUUACCAGAACGGGUUCGACGGUGAGGGACGAAAGCUGGGGGCAUGAACCGGAUUAGAUACCCGGGUAUCCCAGCCGUAAACGAUGCUCGCUAGGUGUCAGCAUGGCGCGACCGUGUCUGGUGCCGCAGGGAAGCCGUGAAGCGAGCCACCUGGGAAGUACGGCCGCAAGGCUAAACUUAA
rnacentral:rRNA from 1 species